rnacentral:rRNA from 1 species
AGACAGCAGCCGCCACGGGAAUACGUAGGGUGCGAGCGUUAAUCGGAAUUACUGGGCGUAAAGCGUGCGCAGGCGGUUUUGUAAGACAGGCGUGAAAUCCCCGGGCUCAACCUGGGAAUGGCGCUUGUGACUGCAAAGCUAGAGUGCGGCAGAGGGGGAUGGAAUUCCGCGUGUAGCAGUGAAAUGCGUAGAUAUGCGGAGGAACACCGAUGGCGAAGGCAAUCCCCUGGGCCUGCACUGACGCUCAUGCACGAAAGCGUGGGGAGCAAACAGGAUUAGAUACCCCGGUAGUCCCUGUCUCUUAUAC